rnacentral:rRNA from 1 species
GACGAACGCUGGCGGCGUGCUUAACACAUGCAAGUCGAACGGAAAGGCCCUGCUUUUGUGGGGUGCUCGAGUGGCGAACGGGUGAGUAACACGUGAGUAACCUGCCCUUGACUUUGGGAUAACUUCAGGAAACUGGGGCUAAUACCGGAUAGGAGCUCCUGCUGCAUGGUGGGGGUUGGAAAGUUUCGGCGGUUGGGGAUGGACUCGCGGCUUAUCAGCUUGUUGGUGGGGUAGUGGCUUACCAAGGCUUUGACGGGUAGCCGGCCUGGGAGGUUGACCGGCCACAUUGGGACUGAGAGACGGCCCAGACUCCUACGGGAGGCAGCAGUGGAGAAUAUUGCGCAAUGGGCGGAAGCCUGAUGCAGAAACGCCGCGUGCGGGAUGACGGCCUUCGGGUUGUAAACCGCUUUCGCCUGUAACGAAGCGUGAGUGACGGUAAUGGAUAAAGAAGCACCGGCUAACUACGUG